rnacentral:rRNA from 1 species
GAUCCUGGCUCAGGAUGAACGCUAGCUACAGGCUUAACACAUGCAAGUCGAGGGGCAGCAUUUUAGUUUGCUUGCAAACUGAAGAUGGCGACCGGCGCACGGGUGAGUAACACGUAUCCAACCUGCCGAUAACUCCGGAAUAGCCUUUCGAAAGAAAGAUUAAUACCGGAUAGUAUACGAAUAUCGCAUGAUAUUUUUAUUAAAGAAUUUCGGUUAUCGAUGGGGAUGCGUUCCAUUAGUUUGUUGGCGGGG